UACGGAGGGUGCAAGCGUUAUCCGGAUUCACUGGGUUUAAAGGGUGCGUAGGCGGGCAGGUAAGUCAGUGGUGAAAUCUCCGAGCUUAACUCGGAAACUGCCGUUGAUACUAUUUGUCUUGAAUAUUGUGGAGGUAAGCGGAAUAUGUCAUGUAGCGGUGAAAUGCUUAGAUAUGACAUAGAACACCAAUUGCGAAGGCAGCUUACUACACAACGAUUGACGCUGAGGCACGGAAGCGUGGGGAUCAAACAGG
rnacentral:rRNA from 1 species